rnacentral:rRNA from 1 species
AUUGAACGCUGGCGGCAGGCCUAACACAUGCAAGUCGAACGGUAACAGAAAGCAGCUUGCUGCUUUGCUGACGAGUGGCGGACGGGUGAGUAAUGUCUGGGAAACUGCCUGAUGGAGGGGGAUAACUACUGGAAUCGGUAGCUAAUACCGCAUAACGUCGCAAGACCAAAGAGGGGGACCUUCGGGCCUCUUGCCAUCGGAUGUGCCCAGAUGGGAUUAGCUAGUAGGUGGGGUAACGGCUCACCUAGGCGACGAUCCCUAGCUGGUCUGAGAGGAUGACCAGCCACACUGGAACUGAGACACGGUCCAGACUCCUACGGGAGGCAGCAGUGGGGAAUAUUGCACAAUGGGCGCAAGCCUGAUGCAGCCAUGCCGCGUGUAUGAAGAAGGCCUUCGGGUUGUAAAGUACUUUCAGCGGGGAGGAAGGGAGUAAAGUUAAUACCUUUGCUCAUUGACGUUACCCGCAGAAGAAGCACCGGCUAACUCCGUG